GGGGGUCCCAGGUGGGUUUGGGGGGUCCCAGGUGGAUUUUUGGUGUUUUUCACCCCAUUUUUGGGCUGCUUUUCCUCUUUUUUUUUCAUUUUUCACCCCAUUUUUCCCAUUUUUUGCCAUUUUUCCAUUUUUUUCAUUUUUUACCCCAUUUUCCCCAUUUUUUGCCAUUUUCCCCAUUUUUCCAUUUAUUUUCCAUUUCCCACCCCAUUUAUUCCCAUUUUUUUGCCUUUUUUUUGCCUUUAUUUGGCUUUCCCCCCAAAUUUUGGGACGCGGAUUUCGGGUUUCCCCCCAAAUUUCGGGACGCGGAUUUUGGGAUCCGGAUUUUGGGGAUCCCCCAAAUUUUUGGACGCGGAUUUCGGGGAUCUCCCCAGUUUUAUGAUCCGGAUUUUGGGAUCCAGAUUUUGGGACGCGGAUUUUGGGUUUCUCCCAAAUUUUUGGACGCGGAUUUCGGGUUUCCUCCCAAAUUUCGGGAUCCGGAUUUCGGGGAUCCCCCAAAUUUUGGGGUCACUGCUCGCCCUGCCACCAGUGGUAGAGCUGAUCCGUCAGGAUCCCGCCGUAGGUGAGCGCGGCCGCCACGCCCUGCUCGUACGCCGUCCUGGGGGAAAAAAACCCGAUUUUGGCUCAUUUCCCCCAAAAAUGAUGAAUUCGGGGGUGGGAGGGAAAAAAACCCG
rnacentral:lncRNA from 1 species